GCAGUCGAGCGAUGACGAGGAGCUUGCUCCUCUGAUUUAGCGGCGGACGGGUGAGUAACACGUGGGUAACCUGCCUGUAAGACGGGGAUAACUCCGGGAAACCGGAGCUAAUACCGGAUGAUAACGAGAAGCGCCUGCUUCUUUUUUGAAAGUCGGUUUCGGCUGACGCUUACAGAUGGGCCCGCGGCGCAUUAGCUAGUUGGUGAGGUAACGGCUCACCAAGGCGACGAUGCGUAGCCGACCUGAGAGGGUGAUCGGCCACACUGGGACUGAGACACGGCCCAGACUCCUACGGGAGGCAGCAGUAGGGAAUCUUCGGCAAUGGACGAAAGUCUGACCGAGCAACGCCGCGUGAGCGAUGAAGGCCUUCGGGUCGUAAAGCUCUGUUGUCAGAGAAGAACAAGUACCGGAGUAACUGCCGGUACCUUGACGGUACCUGACCAGAAAGCCACGGCUAACUACGUGCCAGCAGCCGCGGUAAUACGUAGGUGGCAAGCGUUAUCCGGAAUUAUUGGGCGUAAAGCGCGCGCAGGCGGUCUUUUAAGUCUGAUGUGAAAGCCCACGGCUCAACCGUGGAGGGUCAUUGGAAACUGGGGGACUUGAGUGCAGGAGAGAAAAGUGGAAUUCCACGUGUAGCGGUGAAAUGCGUAGAGAUGUGGAGGAACACCAGUGGCGAAGGGCGGCUUUUUGGCCUGUAACUGACGCUGAGGCGCGAAAAGCGUGGGGAGCAAAAC
rnacentral:rRNA from 1 species